UUCCAAGUGGGGAUGGGCUUACAAUGGGCAUCCAAUCUGGGACCCACCUGGGUUAGCCAAGUAGGACCCACCUGAGCCAGCCCAGGUGGGCUAUGUUCUAUGGGCACCAUAUGGGUAACAUAUGGGAAGUUGCAUGAACAGGCAACUGAGUUUAAUGACCUUAGUUAAGUAUAAUUAUUAGUCAUGUGUAAGUAUAAACAUGAAUUAAGAUGAAAUAACUGAUAAUAAAUUAUGCCACAGGCAGCAUAUGUAUAUUUAAUUAAUAACAAAAUAUACAUAUAAAAUAUAUUAAUAUAAGUGAAACACAAAGAACAGAUAUGACUUAAAAUUGUAAGACGCUUAAUAAAAUAAAAUAAAUGGUUUUACAUUUGAGUGGGAAAAAAAUUUCACUCCAUGUAGGAGGGUUAGGGUUAAACCUUUUCGAAAUCUCGCGUUAUUUCAUGAAAUAUCACGAGGUUUUCUUGAACCCGUCCCCCCCAUUCUGGAACAUUCUUCAUUUCGCGCCCUUGGACAAAGCUGACAGUUAAGCUGACAAUUUUUGGAUUAAGUGCAUCUUUGAGCUACGAAUUUAUCUGCAGUAAGGAAAGCAAUGGAGCAAUCUGAGAGGACAAAGAGAAGAAAAAUAGCUGCGAAAGUUGUUGAACAUUUACGUCUCGUUUCACAGCAGAAUGAGUCAGAUCAUCAUCAGGACUUAAUUUUUUUCUCGGAUUCUUUUGAGAAUAAACCCCUUGUGGAAGAGUACCAUGAUUGCGAUGAACAUGCUGGAGUCAGUUCACAAAAUGAACAAUCUGCAGACAUUUUUUAUGAUGCUUUGGACUUUGACGUGUUUCCUGAAGACUCUGAAAGUGGGGUGUCUGAGUUUAAUGAAUUUGAUCUGGACGAUGACUGUUUCGAUUCUGAUGCUUUUUCAGACACACCAGAUGAUACAAAAGGACUUGCAGAGUGGGCUGCAGAAUACAAUGUGUCACAUAAUGCUUUGUCUGCCCUUCUUAAAAUUCUUAGACAGAAAGGUCUUAAUGUACCACUAGAUGCUCGAACAUUGAUGUCAACUGCCCGCAAAUGUAAUGUGAUAAAUGUGGCUGGGGGAUCAUACUACCAUUUUGGUUUAAAGAAUUCAAUUGUUGCAGCAUUGGAGCUUUUAGAUUUUGAUUUAAAGAAACUAACAAACAAUCUAACACUUAGAAUUAAUGUUGAUGGUCUACCUUUAUUCCGCAGCAACAAUGUUAGUCUGUGGCCUAUUCUGGGUAGAAUCAAGGAGAUCCCAAAUUGUGAUGUUUUUGUGAUCGGGUUAUACUCAGGUACAACCAAACCUUCUAAUGUACAGGAGUACUUGAAUGACUUUGUACAAGAUGUAAGGGCAAUUAUACAAGAUGGAGUUCAGUAUAAUGGUGUCCAUUUCAGUGUUGCUGCUCCAGAUGCAUUCAUUUGUGAUGCACCUGCUCGUGCUUUUCUUAAAUGUGUGAAGGGACACACUGGCUAUUAUGCGUGUGAGCGGUGCACUCAAAAGGGCAUGUAUGUGAAUAGGAGAUUGUGUUUUCCUGAAAUUUCUGCUGAGCAAAGGACUGAUGAGACUUUUCGUGCUAUGGCCUACAAAGAGCAUCAGGUUGGGGUGUCACCUCUGAAUGAGUUGGGUGUGGGACUAGUCUCAGGUUUUGUGCUGGACUAUAUGCACCUUGGGUGUCUGGGGGUAAUGCGAAAACUUAUUUAUCUUUGGUUAAAAGGUCCCCGAAAAUGCAGACAGUCUAUGCAAAUUCUAACCGUGAUUUCAGCAUUCAUGGUUUCUGUCAGGCAACAUUUGCCUAAAAGUUUUGCAAGGAAACCAAGAUCUCUCCUUGAAAUUAGCAUGUGGAAAGCAACUGAAUUGAGACAAUUUUUGCUUUACACAGGCCCAGUUGUUUUAUUUAAUAAUAUACCAAGCCAAAUGUAUAGACACUUUAUACUUUUAUCUGUAUCUAUAAGAAUUCUUCUUAGUCCUGAUUUGUGUAUUGAGAACUGUGAUUAUGCAGAGGAUGUUUUAAAGCAGUUUGUGAAAGAUUUUGGUUCGAUUUAUGGUCUUGAAUUUGUUGGUUAUAAUGUACAUAAUUUAAUACACCUAGCUGAAGAUGCGCGAAAGUUUGGACCUUUGGACAGUAUUUCCUGCUUCCCAUUUGAAACCUUCCUGGGUAAACUGAAAAAGAUUGUGCGGAGGCCUCAUAAACCUGUGGAACAAAUUGUCAAGCGCGUCUAUGAGACGCAAAGUAUUCAGAAGAAAAGAAAAGAGAGGAUGUCUGUUCCCUCUCCUCUUAAACAGCCUCAUAACUCUGGACCAAUAACAAGUGAUCUUGGAACUUUUAAGCAGUACAGAAAAUACACUGAUGGACAGACAUAUGUUUCUUGCUCCAUGGGAGAUAACUGUUUCAAUGUAGGGGGAAAAAUUCUUAUUGUGGCAAACAUUUUACAGGAUUGCCAAGUUGUCAAAGCACUGUGUCAGGUCUUUGAAAACUGUAAUGCCUUUUUCAGCUAUCCAUUGGACUCAACAUGCCUUGGAAUUUACUUUGUUUCAAAUCUGUCUAAACAAAUGAAUCUUGUAUUACUUGAUGAACUAAAACAGAAAAUGGUGCUUUUGCCACUGAAGUCUGGAUAUGUGGCAUUGCCACUGCUGUACUAGUUGGCUUCUUUUUGCUUUCUCACCAGCAUGCUACCAUUUGCAGUUGUUGAUUUUCUGGAUGGUGGAGGUGUAUCCAUAAUUCCUUGCAAGUGGUUUACAGGACCAGCGGAAGAUUCUUGUUUCUGGCCACCAGGGAGAGUCAAUAUCAAUAAGGCUGUAAAGGAUGGAGUUACUCCAGAUGCAAACUGGUCACAUUACAGAGUUCGCAUCUUGGGGAAAGCUGAAAACUAUGAAAAUGCCAGGGUGAAACUGCGGAGGUCUGAAGCAACCUCUGAUCUGCAGACUGAGUCGGAUUCUGGAAGCAGAUUGGGAAAAGGGAAGCGGAAAAGGAGGCCAGUGAUCCAGUCAAGCUCGGAUGAGGAUUGGGACAACGCUGCGGAACAGCCAGAGACCUCAUCAACAUCAGCAAUGGAGAAUAGACAUUCAAGUGAAACUCCCCACCAGAACGUCACUCAUCCAUUUGUUCAGCUACCACCACCCUCAACUCCUUCACCUGUGGUUUCACAACCAGUUCCAAGACAACUUGUACAAGCCACCAAUACCAGCAUGUUUGUACGUGUUCUAACCCUCCUGGAAGACAUUAAGGAGACUCAGAGGAUCCACAGUCGAAUGCUACAGUCUCUCCUCAAACAACGUGAUGGACCAGUUGCUGCAGUAUUACCCGAGGGUGCUGUUUUUCCUCUCCGGACAGUCGCAGACGUGGAAGCACUGGAACAAAAACUGAUAGACCCUGUCUUCCUGAAAGAAGUGGUUGCUGUUGUGGCAGAGAUCGGAGGGAGCACUGUUGAUGAAGCCACCAGAAGAAUGAUGGCCUUCAUUAUGGACAAUGCUCUUUCCAGGCAAUAUAACUUCGUUGGGCGCCAUGGAAAGCGGGAAUUUCGAGGGCUUAAAAUUUUCGAAGUGCUAUAUGCAUACUUGAAGACAGCUCUCACUAAACCGUUUUUUGGUUCCUCACUGUGUUACGGUAUGUGAACAAUUUCCAGUUAUGUUUAGCAGUUUGUGCAAUAUUCUUCUUUGCACAAUCAGCUCCAGGAACUCCAGCGCCAGCCAGCCAGUCAAACAACUUGAUCAGCACAACUUUCAAAACAACUCCAGUAGUAUUGCAAAUCUGAUGUUAUUUGUGAAAAAAUGCACUUUUUUUUUUCAGGACCAAUGGAUCACUGAAUGAGUGAGAAGCUGUGUUUCAGUGCAUUUCUUUUUCGUUUAAACUGUAUAACAUUGAUUUGUUAUUGUUUUGUGUAUACUAGGGACCUUUUUUGUCAACAUGUUCUCUAAACAAAAAAAAUAUUUGUAUAGUAUAUAAAAAAUUACUGUUAUACUGCAUACUGUUUUAAAAUGUCAUAUUAAUCAGUAUUAAUAAAAAAGAUAAACUGACUUUGUUGUACAGGUGAUUUAAAUUUUAGCUUACUGUAGUAUCCAAAAUCCCAUCUGGGCAAGCACACUUGGGGCCACCAUGGAAAUGGAGGACAAAAAUAGCUGGGUCCCAGGUGGGUAACCCAGGUGGGCCCCAAAUAUCAGACCCGCUUCUAUGGAUAUGGGCCCCACAAGUUUUUUUGGUUGGAUCUGAUUUGGGGCCCAUCAUUAACCCAUCUGGGCAAACACAUUUGGGGCCACCAUGGAAACUGAGGACAAAAGUAGCUGGGUCCCAGGUGGGUAACCCAAGUGGGCCCCAACUAUCAGACCCACUUCUACCCAUCUGGGUCCCACACUUGUUUAUUGGCUGGGCCUGAUUUGGGGCCCAUCCAGGGCCCGUCAUUAGCCCAUCUGGGCAAACACACUUGGGGCCACCAUGGAAACUGAGGACAAAAUUAGCUGGACCCCAGUUGGGUUUCCCAAGUGGGCCCCAAAUAUUAGCCCUGAUGCUCCCUAUUUGGGCCCCACGUAUGUGUGUUG